AGGAGGAGUUUGGUGGUUGAACUGUUUCACGAAUCAUUUUGGAAUUGGAAUGACGAAGUUCACAGCUGCAGCAAGAGAAUCCAUUGAUGCAGUUUCUGCAAUUCAUAAACGCUCAAAAAGGAUUUGAAGAAAAAGGAGAGGGAAAAUCAAGGAAU